rnacentral:tRNA from 1 species
GGAAGAUUGGUAGAGUGGUUAAAUACAACCGUUGUGAAAGCGGUGCUCAGGAAACUGCGGUUUGUCUGAGUCGUGGGGUUCGAAUCCCCCAUCUUCCCA